rnacentral:rRNA from 1 species
UAGGGAAUCUUCCGCAAUGGACGCAAGUCUGACGGAGCAACGCCGCGUGAGUGAAGAAGGAUUUCGGUUCGUAAAACUCUGUUGUUAGAGAAGAACAGCGCAUAGAGUAACUGUUAUGCGUGUGACGGUAUCUAACCAGAAAGCCACGGCUAACUACGUGCCAGCAGCCGCGGUAAUACGUAGGUGGCAAGCGUUGUCCGGACUUAUUGGGCGUAAAGCGAGCGCAGGCGGUCAAUUAAGUCUGAUGUGAAAGCCCCCGGCUCAACCGGGGAGGGUCAUUGGAAACUGGUUGACUUGAGUGCAGAAGAGGAGAGUGGAAUUCCAUGUGUAGCGGUGAAAUGCGUAGAUAUAUGGAGGAACACCAGUGGCGAAGGCGACUCUCUGGUCUGUAACUGACGCUGAGGCUCGAAAGCGUGGGUAGCAAACAGG